rnacentral:lncRNA from 1 species
GGAAUCAGAUGGCAAUUUACUUGGUAUAUCAAACUAAAACAGAUGUAAUGCAACAGUUUCCAUUCAAUAUAGUGAUGUCGCAUGAGCUCUUUCUAGAGUUACAGCAGCUAAAGUUAUAAUCGGGACCCAGUUGUAUUCUAAAAGCAACAAGUUAUAUUAACCACCUCCGCACAACUUAUUUCACACCAAUAAGCGUUAUAUUAACCAAACUGGGUUUUGUGGGACGUUAACUAAAACAUUCGCUGUAUGACUUAAGUUAACCCCACUAACUGUCAAACGACUAGUUAACGCUAGUUACCCUUGCCCACGUCACUUAGCAAACUUAACGUCAAACUGUCGUCCGAGGCAGCUGACAUUUUACCAGGACGUGGCUUUACUGAAUCAGUCUGCAACAGUGCUGUUCCCUCAGAGAGAACGUUUGUCGAUUCGCUAUUUUUAACUUCAACACAUCCCUGCAGAAAACGUUACUAAAGUCACUGGCUAGCUUCAUCUUCAGCUGCCCUGGUUUCCUAGCUCCAGAUAAGGAAGCUAACUUCAAGUUGGGUUCAAUCAGGUCGACAUUCGGGAAAUGCACCCAUGUCAGCAAUGGAAAUAAAAGGUACGUGAAUGACGCACUGCACUUCUCAAAGAAGCCUAAAUAGUCAACAAAUGUUUGAGAAAUGCCGAUUGUUUUUGUUCAGCAUGUGGUGGAGAAUCAAACUAGGUUUUCAUCACUAGUACACUUUUCGAUGCAGUGUUGGUCCAUGAAGUCAUCAUAGCCCAUGAAGAAGUCAUUAAUAGAAUCAAGAGUUACUGGUUUAUGGAUCUUACUUAUAAUAUCUUUCCGUGGGUACCUUUUAUAUAGUACACAUUAAUCUACACAUGCUCUUACUGCCUGUUGGCCAAAAGAAGACUCAUAAAUGGAUUUUUUAGCCCAAGAUAAAGAGGUGAGGCUUCAUAGCACAACAUACCUGCACUAUCUUUAAGUGUUUAAUUUAUAUUUAAAUUAAACUAUAAAAUGUUAGCCAUCUCAUCUUCUAACAAUACCUCCAUGAAACUGUAUUU